rnacentral:misc_RNA from 1 species
CCGAGUUCUUCUGACUCCCAAACCCCAUGUGAACCUCAUACCAGUCGUUGCUUCGGCGGCACCGCCCCGGCGCCCUCGGGCCCGGAACCAGGCGCCCGCCGAAGGCCCGCAAACUCUCCUUGUAUACCGUCCCACCGGUGGCAUUAUCUGAGUAACAAUAAAAAAAUGAAUCA